GACAGAGGGUGCAAACGUUGCUCGGAAUUACUGGGCGUAAAGCGCGUGUAGGCGGUGUGGUCAGUCGGGUGUGAAAGCCCAGGGCUCAACCCUGGAAGCGCCCUCGAUACUACCACGCUAGGGUCUUGAAGAGGAGAGCGGAAUUCCCGGUGUAGAGGUGAAAUUCGUAGAUAUCGGGAGGAACACCAGUGGCGAAGGCGGCUCUCUGGGCAAUGACCGACGCUGAGACGCGAAAGCGUGGGGAGCAAACAG
rnacentral:rRNA from 1 species